ACAUAACAUAAAACUACUAAUAGCUAGCUUUUAUACACACAUUGAUUGAUGAUAAUUAUUUUGCUGCGCAUGCAAUUGCAGGGAAACUCAAGUAGUGGGUAGUGAUCGACCCAUGAUUGUUGUUAAAAACGAUUGAUGCCUAAAGUUCAAGUCUAAAAUUAAUGGCUGCAAGUCAGCAGAGCCUCGCAGCUCUCUUCUCACUCUUGCAGCUAUCAAUAGUUAGCGUUCUAGUGCAGAACUAACUACUAAGUAGAGUAGCAACACUCAGUGAACGAGUUUUGCUACAGACUCUUCUGAAAAGGCUGCAAUGGCAUUCCAAGUAAGCAAAACUAGGCAUAACUCGAGAACGAAGCUUUAUUUUGCAAUAGCAAGCCAAGAAAACAUGACUAGAAGCCUAUAGAAACUCUUACUUGCACUUCCUUGAGCAGCUGAAAUAGUCUACACACACACACACACACACAAACACACUACCGUAUACCUCGCUUGCGCAUGCGCACCGCGAGGCAUAAUUACAGCGCCACUCUAAUUGAAGGGCCAAAAUUCACAAAAUAAAUUAUCCAAUUAAGCGCCAAGUUGCUAGCGCUUACAUAAUUAGAAAUAACGCAUCCUUAAUUCGAGGCUACAUGUACAACUGAUCUGAUAGCCUCGUGGAAACAGCUAUACUAUAGUACUCUACGUUGCUAAGCACCACUCUAAAUAAUAAUUAUUAUAAGUGCCAAACUGGAAUUAUGGUUUUCUUGUUCUAUUUGUGUGCCACUGAAAAUCUUUAGCGGCGCUGUAAUUAGAAGAAAGACGGUAUAGAUGAUGUUGAAAGUGACACGUGUUGGAGAGAGCAUUAUACUGGACACCCUUGUAUGACCAGACCACUGUAAGUAUCGACACAAUUAGAGGUGAUGCUGAGAAGUCAAAGGCAGUAUCUUACAAUUGCAAUGAACUGAGUGCAGACUUGCUAUGUUUAACUAACUAUGUUUAAAAAAACCUUUCACUUUUAUAUCCUCAUCGUUUGUUUAACACAAUUUUAAUACUGUAUUGAUGUAUUGUUGUUUCUAAUGUUUGAAAAAUUUUUUUUUAAUUUA